GCAGAUCGCAGCCCAGAGUCUGCGGAGGCGCACCGUUUCAUCAACAGCAGGGACUGAAACUUCAGCCCAGGAGAAGCCAAGAUGGCACCGUUAUCGCACCCUGGGAAUCGAGGACCGGGAAGAACUUAAUGAUGCGAUUCCUCCCGUGAUCUCAGUGAUUGUAUCAGGCGAAAACGAGGAGGGCAAAAUACCGUCCAGAUGUAAACUAGGAGCAGCCGCACCAGCAGCACCAGCAGAAUGCCGUGGUAGUGCGGCAGGCCCUGGCCCCAUGGACAAAGAGAAACUCGUCAGUGGCAGUGGCCACGAACUCAGAAAGCCUGAGGACAGUCAGCAGCUCCUCUGGCUCUUCACUUUCACACUGGUGCAACUACAGGAGCUGAAGAACAUUUUUCAACUCGUUCCAUACCCGGACGUGUUAGGAUCAGAUUCAUCAUUGGACUCCUGGACCUAUCACUGCGGACCUCAAAUGUGCACCUUUUAAGCCCUUUCCUUCACUCCUGACUGAUUGAUUUGGGAUCCACUGCUAAGUCAGACUUUUGAACCAUUGUUCCAGGCAAACUUCUGUUAAAGCUGUUUCAGAUGAGUUUCCAAUGUUUAUAUUCUAGUUGGACCACAAAUAACGAGUCUCAUCUCAGCACCCGAAGGUUAGUAAUAGAUUUCAAGCAGGCAGAAUAGAAAUUAGAGGAAGAUGGAGAGCUUUAAAACACUCUGCUUAACUUUCUAGUUGCAGGUUACCACUCGAGCUCUGAAUUUUUCUUGCUGUAAUUUUCUCAUCAUUUAAAAAUGUGCACAAAAAUACGUCAUAAUAUGUAACCAGCUGUAAUUCCAAAGAGAAUUAAAAUAUGAAGUUCCUGGCAGGCUUCUGUGAAGGAGCUGGGUUUUAAAGGAGAGAAAGAGAAAGAGAAGGAAAGAGAAGGAGGUUUGUGACCCUUCCAGCCCCUGCAUGGUGUGGGUUUGGUACCCCCACCACUCUCAUUUACCUCCUGUCAGGGAGAGCCCAAGUACCCUAGACCUGCACAAUGUAGGAUGAAUCCCUCCCCACUCCGCAAGUCACUGGUUGAAGUGAACUGUUUCCAGCUGGAGGGAGCUAAAGAUACAUUUGCCUGAGAGAAGUAACGAUGUAGGUGGCUUUGCAAGAUAAAUCAGGAAGAUGAAGUCGUAAGUGAAAAGGAAAGGAUGAAAUCAGGAUCCACACACAAAGGUCAAACACUCACACUUACAAACAAAUGGUGCACUUCUGAACAAAACCCUGGUUAAGGGGCUAGGUAAAAUCCUGAAUG
rnacentral:lncRNA from 1 species